UAGUCCGCGCCGUAAACGAUGUCAACUAGCCGUUGGUUCCAUUUAAGGGAUCAGUGGUGCAGCUAACGCAUUAAGUUGACCGCCUGGGGAGUACGCGCGCAAGCGUAAAACUCAAAGGAAUUGACGGGGGGCCCGCACAAGCGGUGGAGCAUGUGGUUUAAUUCGAUGCAACGCGAAGAACCUUACCAGCCCUUGACAUUUACGGAACUUAGCAGAGAUGCUUUGGUGCCUUCGGGAACCGUAGGACAGGUGCUGCACGGCUGUCGUCAGCUCGUGCCGUGAGGUGUUGGGUUAAGUCCCGCAACGAGCGCAACCCCUAUUCUCAGUUGCCAGCACAUAAUGGUGGGGGACUCUGAGAAGACUGCCGGCGCAAGCCGAGAGGAAGGUGGGGACGACGUCAAGUCAUCAUGGCCUUUAUGCCCAGGGCUACACACGUGCUACAAUGGUAAGUACAACGGGUUGCGAAGCCGCGAGGUGGAGCCAAUCCCAGAAAGCUUAUCUCAGUUCGGAUU
rnacentral:rRNA from 1 species